rnacentral:rRNA from 1 species
UAAGUCAGCCACGAAUAGGCUAUCCCAACUAACGGCGGGAAAGACUCCACGGAGGGUGUAAGACCCGUGUGGGCGCGUGUUAAAGCUGUGUGGGCUCGGCCUCCAUUCCCUGAGAGUCGCGUUGCUUGAGCAUGCAGCGCUAAGCAGGUCGUAAACUCGAUCUAAGGCUAAAUAUUUCCACAGAACCGAUAGCGAACAAGUACCGUGAGGGAAAGUUGAAAAGCACUCUGGAGAGAGAGUCAAAAGACCGUGAAACCGCUCAGAGUAUAAGCCCAUGGCAGCUUGGAAGGCAUAUCGCUAGCGGGGCAUCGGUCUCCCUUCGCGGGGAGCUGGUGUUACCUUGCUUCUGUUGUGGCUCGUCAUGGUAGGGGGGUCAGGUCCACAUCCCGCCGUCGUGUGGGGAGUUCUUGGGUGUGUUGUGGUUUCUCGGUUGGCUUCGGCUUUCCGGGGGGCUCUUCGUACUUGGUUCUUCUUUAGACACGGACGUUCAGACUCAGUUGCAAGACGCGAUAACCAGCCCACCACGGCACGUUGUGAGGUCACCCACAGGCUCGACUUUCGAUCGUGAGCCUUGACGCCGAGCAAGCACAAUGCGUGUCGCAGAGAUUCCUAACCAGGCAUAGUGCCAGGAUCGUGGAACGACACGCGCUCAAGAGUCAGGUUCGGGCGGAGACAGAGUUCUGGUAUGAUCCUCUUGCGACGAGCCGGCUUCUGGCCGACAUCCGAUGCUCAGGUCUCCCGCAUGUGCCGCGGGAGAUCGCUUUGACGGUCUGGA